rnacentral:rRNA from 1 species
UACGAAGGGGGGCUAGCGUUGCUCGGAAUCACUGGGCGUAGAGGGUGCGUAGGCGGGUCUUUAAGUCAGAGGUGAAAUCCUGGAGCUCAACUCCAGAACUGCCUUCGAAACUGGCGAUCUUGAGUCCGGGAGAGGUGAGUGGAACUGCGAGUGUAGAGGUGAAAUUCGUAGAUAUUCGCAAGAACACCAGUGGCGAAGGCGGCUCACUGGCCCGGUACUGACGCUGAGGUGCGAAAGCGUGGGGAGCAACAGG